rnacentral:misc_RNA from 1 species
GAAAUGCGAUAAGUAGUGUGAAUUGCAGAAUUCAGUGAAUCAUCGAAUCUUUGAACGCACAUUGCGCCCUUUGGUAUUCCUUAGGGCAUGCCAGUUCGAGCGUCAUCUAAACCUUCAAGCCCUGCUUGGUGUUGGGUGUCUGUCCCGCCUCCGCGCGCGGACUCACCUCAAAUCCAUUGGCGGCCCCCGCGUCGGCCACGAGCGCAGCAGAAACGCGAACUCGUGAGCCCGUCCGGGCGGCUCCCAGAAGCUACACCCACCCAGUUUGACCUCGGAUCAGGUAGGGAUACCCGCUGAACUUAAGC